UACGAAGGGGGCUAGCGUUGCUCGGAAUUACUGGGCGUAAAGGGCGCGUAGGCGGACAGUUUAGUCAGAGGUGAAAGCCCAGGGCUCAACCUUGGAAUUGCCUUUGAUACUGGCUGUCUUGAGUUCGGGAGAGGUGAGUGGAAUGCCGAGUGUAGAGGUGAAAUUCGUAGAUAUUCGGCGGAACACCAGUGGCGAAGGCGGCAUCCUGGACCAAUUCUGACGCUGAGGAGCGAAAGCCAGGGGAGCAAACGGG
rnacentral:rRNA from 1 species